UAAGCAAAUCCCUCCCUGUGUACUGAGGUGGAGAAAGACCUUAAGUGUCUCUCAGCAGACAAGCCACACCUAAUGUGCAGGAGGAACUCAAGAGCCCUGAGUCCCACAGGUGCUCUACCCUAAAAAACCAGAAACCUGCCCUUCAGAGAUGUCUCACUCCUGCCCUGAUGCCAUCAUGGAAACCAGACUUCUCAGCUGUGUGGCCAUUUGUUUCUUGGGGGCAGGUUUGACAGAUGGCAUCGUUCUCCAGACCCCAAGAUACUUGGUCACAGGCACAGGACAAGCAGUGGCACUGAGGUGUGACCAGGACCAGAAUUAUGAUUAUAUGUACUGGUAUCAACAAAAACUAGGACAGGAGCCAAAGCAACUUCUCUAUUACUAUAAGUUGUCAGAUGCUACCAAAGAAAAGGGCAUCUCUGAUAACUUCCAAGCCAACCGGUCAAACAUGAACCUCUUUUACCUUAAAAUCAGUGCCCUGAGUUUGGGCGACUCAGCUAUAUACCUCUGUGCUAUCAGCAUACACAGUGCUGUAGAGUCACCUCCUCUCUGGGCAUAA